UACGUAGGUGGCGAGCGUUGUCCGGAUUUACUGGGCGUAAAGAGCGCGCAGGCGGUCGUACAAGUCGCGUGUGAAAGCCCCCGGCUCAACUGGGGAGGGUCACGCGAUACUGUUCGACUCGAAGGCAGGAGAGGGAAGUGGAAUUCCCGGUGUAGUGGUGAAAUGCGUAGAUAUCAGGAGGAACACCGGUGGCGAAGGCGGCAUCCUGGACCGGUAUGACGCUGAUGCGCGAAAGCCAGGGGAGCAAACGGG
rnacentral:rRNA from 1 species